ACAACGACUCUCGGCAACGGAUAUCUCGGCUCUCGCAUCGAUGAAGAACGUAGCGAAAUGCGAUACUUGGUGUGAAUUGCAGAAUCCCGUGAACCAUCGAGUCUUUGAACGCAAGUUGCGCCCAAGGCCAUCAGGCCGAGGGCACGUCUGCCUGGGCGUCACGC
rnacentral:rRNA from 1 species